rnacentral:rRNA from 1 species
AGAGUUUGAUCCUGGCUCAGGAUGAUCCUUUGCGGUGUGCCUAAUACAUGCAAGUCGAACGGUGACGAUUUUGUAGCAAUACGAAUGAAAUCAUAGUGGCGAACGGGUGAGUAACGCGUUGGUGAUCUGCCUCGAAGUGUGGAAUAACUUCCCGAAAGGGUAGCUAAUACCGCAUACUCUCUCAAGGUUUAAAAAAUUGAGAGUAAAGGAUUUAUUCGCUUCGAGAGGAGCCUGCGUCCCAUCAGCUAGUUGGUAGGGUAAUAGCCUACCAAGGCAAUGACGGGUAGGGGACCUGAGAGGGUGGCCCCCCACAAUGGAACUGAAACACGGUCCAUACACCUACGGGUGGCAGCAGUAGGGAAUAUUAGAAAUGGGCGAAAGCCUGAUCUAGCAACACCGCGUGUGCGAUGAAGGCCUUCGGGUUGUAAAGCACUUUUUGGAGGGAAUAGGAAGGAAGGUACCUCCAGAAUAAGUCUCGGCUAACUACGUGCCAGCAGCCGCGGUAACACGUAGGAGGCAAACGUUAUCCGGAUUCACUGGGCGUAAAGCGCGUGUAGGUGGUUCUGUAAGUAGGGCGUGAAAGCUCCCGGCUCAACUGGGAGAGGCCGUACUAAACUGCAGAGCUAGAGGAUGGUAGAGGGAGGUGGAAUUCCAGGUGUAGUGGUGAAAUGCGCAGAUAUCUGGAGGAACACCAGUGGCGAAGGCGGCCUCCUGGACCAUUCCUGACACUCAGACGCGAAAGCUAGGGUAGCAAACGGAAUUAGAGACUCCGGUAGUCCUAGCCCUAAACGAUGCAGACUAGGCGUCGGCGGUUUAAUCACCGUCGGUGUCCAAGCUAACGCGAUAAGUCUGCCGCCUGAGGACUACGGCCGCAAGGCUAAAACUCAAAGGAAUUGACGGGUCCCCGCACAAGCAGCGGAGCGUGUGGUUUAAUUCGAUGCUCCGCGAAGAACCUUACCUGGGUUUGACAUAACAGUGGUAGAGAAGUGAAAACGGAUCGACCCUUCGGGGAGCUGUUACAGGUGUUGCAUGCCUGUCGUCAGCUCGUGUCGUGAGAUGUUCGGUUAAGUCCGCUAACGAGCGCAACCCAGCGCUGUGUGUUACAAGUGUCACACAGUACCGCCGGUAUUAAGUCGGAGGAAGGUGCGGAUGACGUCAAGUCAGCAUGACCUUUAUAUCCAGGGCUACACACACGCUANNNUGGUCAGAACAAUAGGUUGCCAAGCCGCAAGGCGGAGCCAAUCCUCCAAAUCUGGCCUCAGUUCAGACUGCAGGCUGCAACUCGCCUGCAUGAAGUCGGAGUUGCUAGUAACCGCAGGUCAGCAUACUGCGGUGAAUACGUUCCCGGGGAUUGCACUCACCGCCCGUCA